GAAAUGCGAUAAGUAAUGUGAAUUGCAGAAUUCAGUGAAUCAUCGAAUCUUUGAACGCACAUUGCGCCCGCCAGUACUCUGGCGGGCUUGCCUGUUCGAGCGUCAUUUCAACCAUCAAGCCCCCGGCUUGUGUUGGGGACCUGCGGCUGCCCGCAGGCCCUGAAAAACAGUGGCGGGCUCGCUGUCACACCGAGCGUAGUAGCAUACAUUCUCGCUCAGGGCGUGCUGCGGGUUCCGGCCGUUAAACGACCUUCAUAACCCAAGGUUGACCUCGGAUCAGGUAGGAAGACCCGCUGAACUUAAGC
rnacentral:misc_RNA from 1 species